GACGAACGCUGGCGGCGUGCUUAACACAUGCAAGUCGAACGAUGAACCCGGAGCUUGCUCCGGCGGAUUAGUGGCGAACGGGUGAGUAACACGUGAGUAACCUGCCCUUGACUCUGGAAUAACUGCUAGAAAUGGUAGCUAAUACCGGAUACGACCCUCGGUGGCAUCACCAGGGGGUGGAAAGAAUUUCGGUCAAGGAUGGACUCGCGGCCUAUCAGCUAGGUGGUGAGGUAACGGCUCACCAAGGCGACGACGGGUAGCCGGCCUGAGAGGGUGACCGGCCACACUGGGACUGAGACACGGCCCAGACUCCUACGGGAGGCAGCAGUGGGGAAUAUUGCACAAUGGGCGCAAGCCUGAUGCAGCAACGCCGCGUGAGGGAUGACGGCCUUCGGGUUGUAAACCUCUUUUAGUAGGGAAGAAGCGAAAGUGACGGUACCUGCAGAAAAAGCACCGGCUAACUACGUGCCAGCCGCCGCCGUAA
rnacentral:rRNA from 1 species